UUAAAAUUUUUAUAAUUUUACAUUUUAAAAGAAAAAUAGUAUGGCUAUGUUUUAUAGCCCUCAUUUUUUGGAUUAUGCCAGUCUUGAAGGAAAUGAGUGAAAAAUAAAUCAUAAAUGAAACAAAAAUUCAAGAAGUUAAUUUGUUGCUACAUAUUUACCUGUAAUUUCACCACGAAGCAAAUUCUGAAAAAAAAUAAUUGAAGAAAGGUGUUCGAACGUGACACACUGGGAAACUUUUUUUGGGAAUCUUUGAAUUAUCGUGAGAGGAAAGAGAAAGAAUACCAUUCAUCUCUCUCGCGGUACGGAGCUAACUUGUUUUGUUAGACCUGGUUCACACUGGGAAACCUUUUUUUGAGAAACUUUUAAUUUUGUGUGGUGGGAAGGUAAAUUAUGGACGGGAAGGCUGUAAUGAACGUUAUAGUCAUUUUCAGAGGGCGACCUUAUCCAAAAAAAAAUUGGUUUUGGCUCUUAAGAAACUUAUCUCUGAAAAUUUCCUCUACAAAUUAUAAAUAAAAGCAUAAAACUACAAGAAGGAGAUAAAGCAGUAAUAUGUUGGUAA